GUGCAUUAAGCAGCAGAUUUCGGUCAGUUACACCUUUUUUUGACUAAACCUGUCCAUUAUUGGGAAUGGAUGGGCACUGACUCGAAAAAAUAAUAAUAUCUGGAUUGUUUGUAUUUAUUUUUUAGGAUAACCGAUUCCAACAAGGUAGACUCAACGUGUGUCCGCAGCGCAUCCGCGGUUUGUACCUUGCAAUGCGCCUGAAAUUGUCAGGAUUUACUCCGCGCGCCGGAUUAAUUAAGCACGUUUGAGAAGGCUGUAUUAUGUCUUAUAUACUCCUCUUUACGUAACGCUGUAGUCACUGUGAACAUCCUGAGAAAACAUGGCUAGCUUUUGUGCAACCAAUGCCAGGGGUGGGCAGCGUCUGCCCUGAAGGGUCUCAGUGGCCGAGUGUUUUUGUUUCUACCCAGUUUCUUAAUUAGAAGUCAGUUAUCGCUGCUGAAACACAGUGGGAUUGGGAUGAUUCUCUGAGCCCACUCCAUUGUCAUUCGAGGCAAGGCAGGAGGCAACCCAGGACAGAGCACCAGUGGCCACCAGUUUGGAAUCACCAGAUGUUCAGAGGCAAAGCAGAAAGCACUGACCACUGCCAUCUUCACUGGAAAACUGCAUUCAGUGGCAGAAAUUGAGGUGGCAUUCCCAGCUGGAAUCUAUUUGUGCAUCUGGGACCAAGUAGGUGAGCUUUGCACUCCUCCACUCCCGACUCAGACUCUCGUCCAGGUGAGGUGAAGAGCUUCUUUUAACUUGGACCUGGGAUUACACCGUCACCAGGAAGCUCUUCUGGGUGAGGUGGGACUUAUACCUGACAGGACAGUCUAACCCCCCAGACCCCCCAGAAGCUCUUUCUAGCAACACCGAAGGACCCCAACAGGGCUACCCAUCUGAGCUACAAUUGCUGUGCAACCUAACAGGGUGUCCAAACAGGGGAUAAUGCCACCCAGCGUUCUGGGGAACAUACAUGGCCCUGGGAGGUGGUCUUCCUCUGUCCUUCCACUGUAAUGGCUGCCCGGCCUGGAAAGGUACCACGAGCCAAUACAUCUGGAAUGCCCGUCCGUCCAUAUACCCUGAAUAGGUCUAUAAACUUCGAGGGCUGCAACGGCGGCGAUAUAAAAGCUUUGAUGCGGAUCGGACGGAAAUUGCCGAAGA